UUUAAGGCUAGUCGAAAGCGUUCCGAUCGGAUAUCCGAUGCAGCUAUUAUCUCUGAUGAGAUCGGUUCUACUGUAGGACUCUGUUCCUACCGACGAGACCACGAUGAUGAAACAGCGUCGCGCUGACCGAUUUGAUCCGACCUGUUGAGUCAGAAAUCGACACUAGCGAGACUGUCAAAGAUGCUAUAGCUAGCUCAGUGCAGACAAUGUGGUUUCACCCUGAUGGAUAUACUCGAUAGUGUCGUAUUUACGUGAUCGCCUACUAACGUGAGGUGAAGUAGAUUCGAGACCGGGCGUAAACGUACUUCAUUACGUGCUGAAAGCCAGUUGUCCGAUAUAAUAAUUAAAGCGAUCAAUCAGCGACGAGAGAAGAGAAAUCAUAUGAGAGCUCAGAUUAUUGCUUCUAGCUAAAAUCAUUCAUCUCUCAAGGAAUCGCCAAUGGUGAUGCUGCUAGCCUGUAAGACGUCCUGCACUAGCUUCGAAAUGUUAAUUCUUAUUUGUCUUCAUCCCAACUCUUGCGCUCCUCGUAUUGGUAUAGAGCUUCGAAUUUAUCCAUCUUAGAAAACAAUUACAAGUAAUUAUCCGUUGCGCUGCUACCACGAUGGCGUGUAUACAACUCACGACCUUGGGUGCCCCGUCAAAAUACCUGAGAUUUUGUCUGCCACCUUCGCGUAAAGCCGCCUGAGAUAGCCAUUUCUCUAAUCGACGAUUGCGCCCAUCUCUGAUAAAUCGAAAAUGCAAAACUAAAACUUGACAAUUAAUAAGGAAAAAACUUUUUGACAUUAGUUGGACGUUAGGGAUCGUUAUCUGUAUUAGGCCUAAGCAAAUAGAUUAUACGUAAUUUCUCCUUAAAGACUGACGGGAAUAAACCGCUGGGGCAAUGUAUUAUACUUGUAAAUAAUUGUUAUAAAUAUUGACCAAAGAAACCUAACAAACACCUUUCAAAAGACCAAAAGACAGUAUUUUUCGAGAUAUAUAAUUGGAAUAUACACUGACUGAAUAUAAUAUACACUGACGUGUACAAUGUGUAUUACAUAAGGGGAUUUUCGACGCAGCAUUAGAUCUAACAAAUGUUGUUUAAUGAUGAAAUUCUAAUUGAUUGCUGAAAUUUUUUGAAAUUGAAUUUUUGUUAAAACGUUUAUUAUGAAUUUCGUAGAGCAAGUGUUUGAUCCUAUCACAGAUGCAGUAUAGGUAUCUUUAUGCAGAUGAGGGAACCUUCUUCAUCAGUUUCCUGCAACAAUUGAAUUUUAGAGGGACAUAGCUACGUUUGUUUGGUCAGCCUAAGUGGACGUUAGUUAGUUUAUAAAAGCUUAAGUUAACAUUCCAUCUAUAAAAAAUUAUCUUCGGAACAAGUAACGUAACUAGAAAGAAAAACAAAAACUCGGGCACGAAAUUUAAAGUGAUUAGGAAAUACUCUUCCUCAUUACUAUUUAAUUUGCUAGACGGCUUGACUGGAGCUUUUCUAUACGUUUAGCAUAGAACCAAUGCCUUCCGAGCACAAAUCCGCGUCCUUCGCAGCAACUCGCUUUCAAGACAAAUCAGAAAGACAAACAGGAGUUUGUGGGGCUGGCUCUAUCUGCCCUCCUUUGAGUGACACUUCGAUUGACAAAAGGACUACCGUCAGCACAAUAACAACCUGACAUAGAAGAUUGAUUACUUGCCGUUUGGGACUUUUCUAAAUCAUUCGAUUUUGACCCUGCCCGUGAUCCCCAUGUCAGUUGCCAUUUUUCCACUACUGAUUCAAAAUAAAAUGUUCCUUCUUUCCGGUUUUACAUAUAUACAUAUAUAUAGCCUCACAAGCUACAAGUAGCAACUAGAGGAUUCGGCGCUCCAGUCUUAUGAUCCGUUCUUUCCCUAUAAUUUAUUCAGCAGAAACCAGCAAGCGUCAAGUGGAAAACUAUCUCGAACUUAAAACUACAUAACAGUAUUGGACGUAUAGAAAGCUGAAAGAUUUAAACUUGUAUGGCGUAUUAUCAUGUCGGUAACGCUUCUGUCAAUCCGAUCGUCAAUGUCAAUUGAUAUAACGGAUCGAAUAUUCAGACCCUGAUGGGUUCUGCCACAAGCCAUGUUCAUUCAUCUGUCGGAGACCCAGUUGAGUCUGUUUAGCACCGUGAGGCAGGUGAAUCUCAGUGUUAGCUUAGUUCCGCAUGCGUUUGCUGAUCUAGCUAAUGCUGGACCGCGUAGCUCUCACUAAAGGGACUCUUUUGCAUUGUAUGAGGGUGGAGCUGUACGAUAUGGCAGGUAAACAUGUCACUAGUUGUAUCAAAACUGUCAAUCAUGCGUCUAUCGGCUAUGGUAAAUUCAGGGGUGAUCCACAGGAGCACCAUUUCGGGGAGUCGACUUCUUAGCUAGAAUUGGUUUAACUAAAUGCUACGUUGAUAAGAAAAACCAACGUUGUGUCUUUCUACCAUGCGCAUGGUGUAAAAAAGCGACAGCAUGUCAAAACGGAUCCAGGACGUGACAUGAUUAAGCGAUAGGCUGCACGGCCAUUCUCUGAUCAGCUUAUGAGACAGGACAUAAACGUACAAAUAAAAGUUUCGAAGUCGGUACUCAUGUUUUGCAUGAUAAUCGUUCCCAGAGUCAGUUAUCACACAGCCUCGAGAAAUGAAUUGAAUUAUACUGGGAAUCAUUUGGAAUGUCUCUUUACCGCUUUCUCAUGCAGUAGUUACUGGUAUGAUAUAUGUGAUAAUAUAACUGAAUAUAAAUAGUUUUCCAAACUUUUUCUCAGAUGCGACCUACGAUGUUCGGUUCACUGUACAAUAGAACUACACCGCACUGACAACUGCUUUCCUCAAUCUAAAUACGAGAAUUGCCAUUUUAUAGUAGUACCUCUAGUUACAAACCAACGAUCAAAUAUAUACA